rnacentral:rRNA from 1 species
GACGGAGGAUGCAAGCGUUAUCCGGAAUGAUUGGGCGUAAAGCGUCCGCAGGUGGCAGUUCAAGUCUGCUGUCAAAGACCGGGGCUUAACUUCGGAAAGGCAGUGGAAACUGAACAGCUAGAGUAUGAUAGGGGCAGAGGGAAUUCCUGGUGUAGCGGUGAAAUGCGUAGAGAUCAGGAAGAACAUCGGUGGCGAAGGCGCUCUGCUGGACCAUAACUGACACUCAGGGACGAAAGCUAGGGGAGCGAAUGGG